GCAUUCGUAGCUCAGUUGGAUAGAGCGUCGGCCUCCGAAGCCGAAGGUCGCAGGUUCGACUCCUGUCGAAUGCG
rnacentral:tRNA from 1 species